GCCGCCGCCCGAGGCCCCACGGC
rnacentral:miRNA from 1 species